rnacentral:rRNA from 1 species
UACGGAGGGUGCAAGCGUUAUCCGGAUUCACUGGGUUUAAAGGGUGCGUAGGUGGCUUUGUAAGUCAGUGUGAAAUCUUAGAGCUUAACUCUAAAACUGCCAUUGAUACUGCUUAGCUUGAAUCAAGUCGAGGUGGAUGGAAUAUUACAUGUAGCGGUGAAAUGCUUAGAUAUGUAAUAGAACACCGAUUGCGAAGGCAGUUCACUAGGCUUGUAUUGACACUGAGGCACGAAAGCGUGGGGAUCAAACAGG